UACGAAGGGGGCUAGCGUUGUUCGGAAUUACUGGGCGUAAAGCGCGCGCAGGCGGUCCUUUAAGUCAGGGGUGAAAGCCCAGAGCUCAACUCUGGAACUGCCUUUGAAACUAGAGGACUUGGGUACGGGAGAGGUGAGUGGAAUUCCGAGUGUAGAGGUGAAAUUCGUAGAUAUUCGGAAGAACACCAGUGGCGAAGGCGGCUCACUGGCCCGUUACCGACGCUCAGGCGCGACAGCGUGGGGAGCAACAGGGAUU
rnacentral:rRNA from 1 species